UUAAGCGACUAAGCGUACACGGUGGAUGCCCUGGCAGUCAGAGGCGAUGAAGGACGUGCUAAUCUGCGAUAAGCGUCGGUAAGGUGAUAUGAACCGUUAUAACCGGCGAUUUCCGAAUGGGGAAACCCAGUGUGAUUCGUCACACUAUCAUUAACUGAAUCCAUAGGUUAAUGAGGCGAACCGGGGGAACUGAAACAUCUAAGUACCCCGAGGAAAAGAAAUCAACCGAGAUUCCCCCAGUAGCGGCGAGCGAACGGGGAGCAGCCCAGAGCCUGAAUCAGUGUGUGUGUUAGUGGAAGCGUCUGGAAAGGCGCGCGAUACAGGGUGACAGCCCCGUACACAAAAAUGCACAUGCUGUGAGCUCGAUGAGUAGGGCGGGACACGUGGUAUCCUGUCUGAAUAUGGGGGGACCAUCCUCCAAGGCUAAAUACUCCUGACUGACCGAUAGUGAACCAGUACCGUGAGGGAAAGGCGAAAAGAACCCCGGCGAGGGGAGUGAAAAAGAACCUGAAACCGUGUACGUACAAGCAGUGGGAGCACGCUUAGGCGUGUGACUGCGUACCUUUUGUAUAAUGGGUCAGCGACUUAUAUUCUGUAGCAAGGUUAACCGAAUAGGGGAGCCGAAGGGAAACCGAGUCUUAACUGGGCGUUAAGUUGCAGGGUAUAGACCCGAAACCCGGUGAUCUAGCCAUGGGCAGGUUGAAGGUUGGGUAACACUAACUGGAGGACCGAACCGACUAAUGUUGAAAAAUUAGCGGAUGACUUGUGGCUGGGGGUGAAAGGCCAAUCAAACCGGGAGAUAGCUGGUUCUCCCCGAAAGCUAUUUAGGUAGCGCCUCGUGAAUUCAUCUCCGGGGGUAGAGCACUGUUUCGGCAAGGGGGUCAUCCCGACUUACCAACCCGAUGCAAACUGCGAAUACCGGAGAAUGUUAUCACGGGAGACACACGGCGGGUGCUAACGUCCGUCGUGAAGAGGGAAACAACCCAGACCGCCAGCUAAGGUCCCAAAGUCAUGGUUAAGUGGGAAACGAUGUGGGAAGGCCCAGACAGCCAGGAUGUUGGCUUAGAAGCAGCCAUCAUUUAAAGAAAGCGUAAUAGCUCACUGGUCGAGUCGGCCUGCGCGGAAGAUGUAACGGGGCUAAACCAUGCACCGAAGCUGCGGCAGCGACACUAUGUGUUGUUGGGUAGGGGAGCGUUCUGUAAGCCUGCGAAGGUGUGCUGUGAGGCAUGCUGGAGGUAUCAGAAGUGCGAAUGCUGACAUAAGUAACGAUAAAGCGGGUGAAAAGCCCGCUCGCCGGAAGACCAAGGGUUCCUGUCCAACGUUAAUCGGGGCAGGGUGAGUCGACCCCUAAGGCGAGGCCGAAAGGCGUAGUCGAUGGGAAACAGGUUAAUAUUCCUGUACUUGGUGUUACUGCGAAGGGGGGACGGAGAAGGCUAUGUUGGCCGGGCGACGGUUGUCCCGGUUUAAGCGUGUAGGCUGGUUUUCCAGGCAAAUCCGGAAAAUCAAGGCUGAGGCGUGAUGACGAGGCACUACGGUGCUGAAGCAACAAAUGCCCUGCUUCCAGGAAAAGCCUCUAAGCAUCAGGUAACAUCAAAUCGUACCCCAAACCGACACAGGUGGUCAGGUAGAGAAUACCAAGGCGCUUGAGAGAACUCGGGUGAAGGAACUAGGCAAAAUGGUGCCGUAACUUCGGGAGAAGGCACGCUGAUAUGUAGGUGAAGCGACUUGCUCGUGGAGCUGAAAUCAGUCGAAGAUACCAGCUGGCUGCAACUGUUUAUUAAAAACACAGCACUGUGCAAACACGAAAGUGGACGUAUACGGUGUGACGCCUGCCCGGUGCCGGAAGGUUAAUUGAUGGGGUUAGCGCAAGCGAAGCUCUUGAUCGAAGCCCCGGUAAACGGCGGCCGUAACUAUAACGGUCCUAAGGUAGCGAAAUUCCUUGUCGGGUAAGUUCCGACCUGCACGAAUGGCGUAAUGAUGGCCAGGCUGUCUCCACCCGAGACUCAGUGAAAUUGAACUCGCUGUGAAGAUGCAGUGUACCCGCGGCAAGACGGAAAGACCCCGUGAACCUUUACUAUAGCUUGACACUGAACAUUGAGCCUUGAUGUGUAGGAUAGGUGGGAGGCUUUGAAGUGUGGACGCCAGUCUGCAUGGAGCCGACCUUGAAAUACCACCCUUUAAUGUUUGAUGUUCUAACGUUGACCCGUGAUCCGGGUUGCGGACAGUGUCUGGUGGGUAGUUUGACUGGGGCGGUCUCCUCCUAAAGAGUAACGGAGGAGCACGAAGGUUGGCUAAUCCUGGUCGGACAUCAGGAGGUUAGUGCAAUGGCAUAAGCCAGCUUGACUGCGAGCGUGACGGCGCGAGCAGGUGCGAAAGCAGGUCAUAGUGAUCCGGUGGUUCUGAAUGGAAGGGCCAUCGCUCAACGGAUAAAAGGUACUCCGGGGAUAACAGGCUGAUACCGCCCAAGAGUUCAUAUCGACGGCGGUGUUUGGCACCUCGAUGUCGGCUCAUCACAUCCUGGGGCUGAAGUAGGUCCCAAGGGUAUGGCUGUUCGCCAUUUAAAGUGGUACGCGAGCUGGGUUUAGAACGUCGUGAGACAGUUCGGUCCCUAUCUGCCGUGGGCGCUGGAGAACUGAGGGGGGCUGCUCCUAGUACGAGAGGACCGGAGUGGACGCAUCACUGGUGUUCGGGUUGUCAUGCCAAUGGCACUGCCCGGUAGCUAAAUGCGGAAGAGAUAAGUGCUGAAAGCAUCUAAGCACGAAACUUGCCCCGAGAUGAGUUCUCCCUGACUCCUUGAGAGUCCUGAAGGAACGUUGAAGACGACGACGUUGAUAGGCCGGGUGUGUAAGCGCAGCGAUGCGUUGAGCUAACCGGUACUAAUGAACCGUGAGGCUUAACCUU
rnacentral:rRNA from 1 species